UGAAGAUAACGGUAAGAUGGUUGAAGAAGUCAAUACUCAAGUUUUUCAACUCGAGGUUGACUACACCAUCCAUACCCGCAGCCUUCAUGUUUUUAGUACUUCUAAUAGCUGUUAGCGCCGUCAAAGAGCUUAGGUACCUCAUAUUUGUACCUCUAGCGGUAUCAAAAUUCCAGAACCAAUCAGAUUCCGUUUACAUACGGUCUAUCACGCUUCACGCUCACUCGACUCUACUCAUUUCUAUUCCACACUAACUUUUUCUACUACACUAGCGAAGGGGGAUAAAACGGAAGUGAGAUUUACUGUCAUUCAUUUUCACGUUUUCCUUCACUCGCUUUAACUCUCACCCUGCACUCUAUUUCAAUUCUACUCAGUGGCUGAGUAGAAUUGUAUUCUUUUUUCUUUUUAUCUCACGGAAAUUCUAUUCACUUGCAACUUAAAAAUGAAUUUUCUCUGUCACUGAGUAAACUCCCUUUCGAAUUGCUCCUCAGUAACAUUUCCGUGAGAUAAGGAGAGAGCAAUAAAAUUAUACUCAGUCAUGAUCAAAGCGAGGGGGGCGACACAUCUAAAUCUCAAUUUUAGAUGCUCAAAAAAUCUCACGCUAGCGAAUCAAUCUUCGAAAAAUCUUCUUGCAUUUCUCGCAUCUACAUGCAUCGUGCAUCAUCUUUUUGCAGGAAAUCUUCAGAAUCGUCAUCAAUCUUCUUUCUAUCUACUCAGAGUGCGAGCAGCUAGCCACAGCACAACACAAUCUUUCCUGCAGGCGUAGAUAGAGUCGUCCCCCUCGGAUCAAAGUCGGUAGUUUUAUCAGUUUUAGCGCAUAAUAUGAAAGUAGAUGCCAGUUGAUGGUGGAUAGCGUUUCUAUCUCAAAAUUGACGACUAUCCAUAUGGGACUGAUAUGCGCUGUUAGGCAGUAUAGUAUGAAGGAAUCAAUUUCACUCCCACUGCUAUCAAAUCAAGAUGUUGACCUAUACGGAAGUCUUCCACCUCCCAAAGUUGAUGGUUACGUGUUGAUAAAAUCCGAACAUCACGGUACCUAAUGAGUGAGGAUCAAGCUUAAUCUCCAGAAUGAUUGGUAUUUUUUUUAGAGAUUCUACUAAUAUUUCAAUUUCCGUAUUCUGUACAAAAAAACAGCGACGACAACAAAUAAAGAAGACAAAUCUGCUAGUAUACAAGAGAAAAAUACAGUGGCACUGCAAUGAAGCAGAGGUAGAAUUACUGCUUUAAAGAACUCACACAUCGCUCAAUUUAAGUAGAUAGGUAUUUUUGCUUUUCAUAUCCUUCUUAUUCAUCUUCUUCUUCUUCUUCUUCUUCUUCUUCCUUUUCUUCUUCUUCUUCUUCUUCGCAUUUCAAGCUUAUUGCUAAUCGUAUAUUAGCUUAUUUUAUAAUAUUCAGUCUUCUAGAUGACCUUCCACAGUUAUUAAUAGAGAGCUUUCGAUGCCUGUAUAAUUUUUGCAUUUGUAUAAUUGUGUACAAUCAUUCAUACUCUAUGCCCAGGGAAGUCGAGGAAUUAUCCAACCCGAAAAAUUCCUAGACCGGACCGGAAAUCGAACCCAGCUACCUCCAGCAUGGUCUUGCUUUGUAGCUCCGCCUUUAUCGGCUGAGCUAAGGGAGGCCCCAUAUCCGUUCAAAGUUUUUACCUUUGCGCCGUAGAUGAUAGAAUUGAGUCUGUAUCCAUAUCAGUGUCUGUUUUUAUCAUUUACCAUCACACGCACGGAGUAGCGCUUCAACCCAGUGUAGAUGAAUUGCGUUCGUUUUGAAUAUCUUCGCUGUGAAGUACAAGCGAAACGAACAAAUGAGUUCAUUAUACAUCAACGACUAUGCGUUUGUUGAUAUUCACCACUGCUUGAUUAUCCAACCCAAAAAAUCAAAAUCAGAAGCGAUCCUCAAAAGCAAAAUAAUCAAAUUCAUUUUGGGCAAACUGAUUAUUUUGAAUAUUGUCGACUCCAGAGCCUAAAAUCAAUUCAGCAUGAGGCAAUAAUUUGCUAUCAAUCUGUGUAUAAAAACCAACACAACACGUUCUACAGCGCUGUAUUUGUGUGAUAUUAAAAUAAUCAUUUUGCAUUUGAUCCUCAAACCAGCCCCACCAAGAUAAAGAUGGAUAUUGAUAUUGACAUCCAGCCACGAAUGAACAAAAACAAAUGUUGACCUUGAUACUCAGAGGUUGCCUAGAUCAAGAGAAUGUGUUUAUGUCAAAAUUCAAAUUCCUGCAGGUAGUUGGUCUAUCUGUUAAGGUUGUCUUCAUUUUCAGCUAGGUUAAGUGUAGAAGGAAUGAUUUUUUCAGCACUGAUCCAUAUAUUCUGGUCAAAUGUAGAGAAAUGUUCGAAUACAUCGUUUUGGUUUUCCGACCUAGUUGUCCAGUACUGCAAUUUAUCCGCAAACCGCACUUAAUUGAAUAAAUUCUCCCUACGGUUUAAGUUCUAUCUCCGUUCACCUUAAAUAUCGAGCCGAAUUCUAAAUACAUUUCAACAAACAACUAGAAUAGAGAGAGUAAAUAUCGAAAACUAGAACAACAAGAAAAAAAAUCAGCAAAACACCCAACAUUCACUGAAAACUCCAAGAAAAUGUAGCUUUAAAUGUGGACAAUAAAAUGAUAGCCAUUCGAAAACAUCAAACCCUACUUACACAAAAAAAAACAUCCUCACUCACACACACACCAUGCGCAUAUGUAUAUCGGUGGGAAAAUAAAGCAGAACCCAGAAGCAGAAAAAAAUCAAAUACAAUAUCAGUAGCAAAUGAUAGAAGCGAUCAAAGCGACAAAACCUAGCCGAAUCUGAACCAAGUUUGAACUAUAAGAGAAAACCUUAAUAACGCCAAGCGAGAGUACUGUGUUUAAAUACAAAUGUUGAUUACUUGUUUAGGGAUUUCAGUUACGAUAUAUAGACUAUUGCAAAACUCCAGCCAGAGACCACGCGAGGGUGGAAGCGGAGAAAGGAAGAUAUUCAUCUACGUAUGCAUUGUUUUGUGUUUCCGUUCAACAUUGGAAUUUAAUGAAUCCUAAAUAUACAAACAUAGCCGACUUAGUCAAGCGAAACUGUUCUAAAACUAUUUCCGUUAGCUGAAAGUGGAAGUUUUGUUCAAACUCGAAAGUUACUGAUUAUUCUCAAACUAAGCAGAAUCAAGUUCUAAUCAAUUAAAAAUGAAGAAAACAGAAGAUAAAUCGCAUUUACCGAAGUGGUCCCCAAGAAACCGCUUCAAUAAAAGUUUGUAAAAUUGACCUGACAGAGAAAAUAUAACUAAUUUGCAGAAAA